rnacentral:rRNA from 1 species
AUGCCGUAAACGUUGGGAACUAGAUGUAGGGCCUGUUGCACGGGUUCUGUGUCGUAGCUAACGCAUUAAGUUCCCCGCCUGGGGAGUACGGCCCGCAAGGCUAAAACUCAAAGGAAUUGACGGGGGCCCGCACAAGCGGCGGAGCAUGCGGAUUAAUUCGAUGCAACGCGAAGAACCUUACCAAGGCUUGACAUAGCCGAGAACGCUGUAGAGAUACAGAACUCUUUGGACACUCGGUUACAGGUGGUGCAUGGUUGUCGUCAGCUCGUGUCGUGAGAUGUUCGGUUAAGUCCGGCAACGAGCGCAACCCUCGUCCUAUGUUGCCAGCACGUUAUGGUGGGAACUCAUGGGAUACUGCCGUGGUCAACACGGAGGAAGGUGGGGAUGACGUCAAGUCAUCAUGCCCCUUAUGUCUUGGGCUUCACGCAUGCUACAAUGGCCGAUACAAAGGGCUGCGAUACCGCGAGGUGGAGCGAAUCCCAAAAAGUCGGUCUCAGUUCGGAUUGGGGUCUGCAACUCGACCCCAUGAAGUCGGAGUCGCUAGUAAUCGCAGAUCAGCAACGCUGCGGUGAAUACGUUCCCGGGCCUUGUACACACCGCCCGUCAAGUCAUGAAAGUCGGUAACACCCGAAGCCGGUGGCCUAACCCUUGUGGAGGGAGCCGUCGAAGGUGGGACUGGUGAUUAGGACU